UAGGGAAUCUUCCGCAAUGGGCGAAAGCCUGACGGAGCAACGGCGCGUGAGUGAUGAAGGUCUUCGGAUCGUAAAACUCUGUUAUUAGGGAAGAACAAAUGUGUAAGUAACUAUGCACGUCUUGACGGUACCUAAUCAGAAAGCCACGGCUAACUACGUGCCAGCAGCCGCGGUAAUACGUAGGUGGCAAGCGUUAUCCGGAAUUAUUGGGCGUAAAGCGCGCGUAGGCGGUUUUUUAGUCUGAUGUGAAAGCCCACGGCUCAACCGUGGAGGGUCAUUGGAAACUGGAAAACUUGAGUGCAGAAGAGGAAAGUGGAAUUCCAUGUGUAGCGGUGAAAUGCGCAGAGAUAUGGAGGAACACCAGUGGCGAAGGCGACUUUCUGGUCUGUAACUGACGCUGAUGUGCGAAAGCGUGGGGAUCAAACAGG
rnacentral:rRNA from 1 species